UUUAAUUGAAGAGUUUGAUCAUGGCUCAGAUUGAACGCUGGCGGCAGGCCUAACACAUGCAAGUCGAGCGGCAGCG
rnacentral:rRNA from 3 species